rnacentral:rRNA from 1 species
CCUACGGGAGGCAGCAGUGGGGAAUAUUGCACAAUGGGGGAAACCCUGAUGCAGCGACGCCGCGUGAGUGAAGAAGUAAUUCGUUAUGUAAAGCUCUAUCAGCAGGGAAGAAAAUGACGGUACCUGAGUAAGAAGCCCCGGCUAACUACGUGCCAGCAGCCGCGGUAAUACGUAGGGGGCAAGCGUUAUCCGGAUUUACUGGGUGUAAAGGGAGCGUAGACGGCAGCGCAAGUCUGGAGUGAAAUGCCGGGGCAACCCCGGAACUGCUCUGGAAACUGUGAAGCUGGAGUGCAGGAGAGGUAAGCGGAAUUCCUGGUGUAGCGGUGAAAUGCGUAGAUAUCAGGAGGAACACCGGCGGCGAAGGCGGCUUACUGGACUGUAACUGACGUUGAGGCUCGAAGGCGUGGGGAGCAAACAGGAUUAGAUACCCGUGUAGUC